GUCCUUGACUCUGAUCAGAGCCUCGAUACCGACAGUGAGGACGAAGCCUCGCUGACUCUGCAGCCGCUGCAGCGCGCCACCUGCGGCUGACGUUCUGUUGACCUUGGUCUCUCCACAGCGACCCUUCUUCCACUGACCGAGCCGUCUAGGAGUGUCACCACCGAGGAGAGCCCAUCCAGUUUGUCGGCCGGCGGCGUCAGCGUCAUGCCAGGAGGAACCUACCACACCACACCACGCACAACCAAUCAAGUUUUUGAAAAGCUCUUUGGAUUUCUGGAGUUGUUACCUGGAUUUUAUUGAUCUUGGCCACCAGCUGCUUGGACCUCCCUUCCACAGUAGCUUUCAUCCUGAUGGCCUCCGCCGACAUGGGGGCUGCUAUGACCGCGCCCCACAUUUGGGAGACGGACACCAGAACGGCCAAGGUGAUGCAGUCCAUUGUGUUUUUUUGCGGCUGCGGAUCCCGGGAGAAAUGCCAACAGUAUUUUAAUUCAAGUCUUUUGUGUACUUUCCCCAGCAAGCAACAUAACUGGUUACUUCCUUCCACUUAUUGACGCAACCUGUUUGAUUGUGCGUGCAAAUAUUUGAGAUUCCUCCAAAUAGAUGUUGGGUACAAAGAUCGACCGCUUCCGCAUGCCUGCCCUUGUCCUUAUUUGGUUCGGUACCCAAAUCUUAGUUGGCUUCGCUUCCUUGUCAAUGAGGGUUGAUUAUUAUUCAUUGAGAAAUGAAAGAAAAGUCGCACGACCAUUUCCAAUAUUUUGUUGUGAUCAUUAGCAGUCUAUUUAUAUUUCUAAAAUUGGGCAUUUGUAUUUUUUAAUUAUUCUUCAUGUUUAAUUUUACACGAGAAUAUUUUGUGUUAUUGUAGUGCUCUGACACUAAUAACUUAUGUUUUAGUUAUUUGUAUUUUUCAAUUUAGUUCUAAAUAUUUGUUUUUAAUUUUUCAAUGUUUUUUAAAAAAAAAUCAUAAGUAAAUUUGACUAAAGAAAAUAAUCAUGUUAUCAGAAUAUAAUAACAAUACAAUAGAUUAUCAUAUCAAUUGAGCCAAUUAGCAAUCAAAGCACUUAAUCACAAGCCCUCUUUUUCCACAUACCCACAUAUGUAUGAUGUGUUAGUACCUACAAUAAAUGACCGUGAUAAAUAUUAAAAUCUCAGGCACCAUGCCAGAAUUGUUCAUGCAAAUAUCAAACUUCCAAUUAAGCACAAAAUGGAUCCCAAAGGGUUCAAUGUCAAGCACUCCGAGAAGUAAAGUUGCCCUUACCUUUUGGUGGUGAGUGUGUCCACUGUUGGGGCCACCAUCGGUGUGUCUUAUAGUAGUGGGAUGUUGAGUCACCUCUUACUCAUCGCUUUCCCCGACCCCCCACCCCCUUCGCCCAUCCCCUCACCUUCCUCUUCCCAGCCCAGCGCAUCAUCCCCUCGUUUACAUAUGCAAUAGCGCUUAUUGGGUUUUACUUUUGAGCAACAAUCAACCUGCCGUUUUUGAAUCACUGGGCAAAAAUAUAUUGUACUUUAGUAGAAGUUCAGAUACUAGUGUUAAACAAAUUGCCGGUAAAAGUAGCUAUUGUGAAUUUUGCACUAUUAAUGGAGGAAUGAAUGAAAAGUGUCUCGACUAUCACUACUAUACUGUAUUAUGAUCUUUAGCAGGUAUUAUAGUGUUAUUCUUAGAUGUGUUAUUUCUAAUCCUAGUUAACCUUCCUGUUUUGUUUCUUUCAGUGCACCAAAAAUCAGCCACUGAGCAUUAUAGUGGGCUACAUCCAAUGUUGUCAUUUUUAGUUUACGUGCAGAAUGGAAAAAAACUAUUUUCCAGGUUCCGCAGUCUAAUUUUGAGCUUAACAUGUUUCAGAUUCAUCAGCGCAACCAUGUCAAAGGUGGAGAAAAUAUAAAAAGUUAUCAAAAAAUUAAAUACUCGACUUAAGUGCGCCGCUGUACUUGUUCUGGUAUUAUGCACUGACCUCGACUCUCCAUUGCUCAUUCUAAAUAUUGCCCAACAAAAUCCAGCCGGUCAGUGGUGUUUGUUUAGCGUGAAGUGUUGUCGCACUGUGUUGAAUCAUUGAAGGCAUACAAAUGUGAUCAAAAUACUAUUGGAACAAAAUAUAUUUCAAUAUUAAUAUCUUUAGAUGAAUAUUAAAGGGGCAGUCAACCGCCAAAUUGUCUUUGUAAUGGUAUGUUCUGUGCAGCCCAACAUGUCGAAACACUCUUCUGAUUAAUAUUUUGUUUGUGGAAUAUGAAUUAAACCGACAAAAUCCACUUGUUUUUAUCAAGCUCAGGGGGCCGCCAUUUUGCCACUUGCCGUCGACUAAAAAUGACAUCACAGUUGCUCGGUGCUCAGGUCACAACCAAUCACGGCUCAGCUUCAGAAAACUGGUUGAGUGAUUGUAUCUUUUCGCAGGACAACACUGGCGGAGAAAAAAGACUGCAAAGUCCGUUUUUCAGUGUACCCUUUGUAUUAAUAAAAUGAAACCACGGACAAAAAAAAGCCCAUAGUUGGCCCAACUAUCAGUUUUUCCUCCCUGUUGUCAACUUGUCAUUUGACCCAUGUGAGUUACUUAGUCUCACAUGUGAAUGGGGAGCAGAUGUGAUAACUGUGGUGUGAUAUCACUUUGUAGGUCAAAAAAAAAAACUUUUUCGGCCCAUAAGUAUUUCCCAGAUUGCCUUAUCCUUGCUUGCUUGUCUUGCAUUUUGCCCGAUUAAAGAUGUCGCAUCAUCACAGA